rnacentral:rRNA from 1 species
UACGAAGGGGGCUAGCGUUGCUCGGAAUUACUGGGCGUAAAGGGAGCGUAGGCGGACAGUUUAGUCAGAGGUGAAAGCCCAGGGCUCAACCUUGGAAUUGCCUUUGAUACUGACUGUCUUGAGUACGGGAGAGGUGUGUGGAACUCCGAGUGUAGAGGUGAAAUUCGUAGAUAUUCGGAAGAACACCAGUGGCGAAGGCGACACACUGGCCCGUUACUGACGCUGAGGCUCGAAAGCGUGGGGAGCAAACAGG